CGGUGGAGCAUGUGGUUUAAUUCGAAGCAACGCGCAGAACCUUACCAGCCCUUGACAUCCCGGUCGCGGUUUCCAGAGAUGGAUUCCUUCAGUUCGGCUGGACCGGUGACAGGUGCUGCAUAGCUGUCGUCAGCUCGUGUCGUGAGAUGUUGGGUUAAGUCCCGCAACGAGCGCAACCCUCGCCCUUAGUUGCCAUCAUUCAGUUGGGCACUCUAAGGGGACUGCCGGUGAUAAGCCGAGAGGAAGGUGGGGAUGACGUCAAGUCCUCAUGGCCCUUACGGGCUGGGCUACACACGUGCUACAAUGGUGGUGACAGUGGGCAGCGAGACCGCGAGGUCGAGCUAAUCUCCAAAAGCCAUCCCAGUUCGGAUUGCACUCUGCAACUCGAGUGCAUGAAGUUGGAAUCGCUAGUAAUCGCGGAUCCAGCAUGACCGCGGUGAAUACGUUCCCGGGCCGUU
rnacentral:rRNA from 1 species